rnacentral:rRNA from 1 species
GAUGAACGCUGGCGGCGUGCCUAAUACAUGCAAGUCGAGCGAACGGAUGAGAAGCUUGCUUCUCUGAUGUUAGCGGCGGACGGGUGAGUAACACGUGGAUAACCUACCUAUAAGACUGGGAUAACUUCGGGAAACCGGAGCUAAUACCGGAUAAUAUUUUGAACCGCAUGGUUCAAAAGUGAAAGACGGUCUUGCUGUCACUUAUAGAUGGAUCCGCGCUGCAUUAGCUAGUUGGUAAGGCAACGGCUUACCAAGGCAACGAUGCAUAGCCGACCUGAGAGGGUGAUCGGCCACACUGGAACUGAGACACGGUCCAGACUCCUACGGGAGGCAGCAGUAGGGAAUCUUCCGCAAUGGGCGAAAGCCUGACGGAGCAACGCCGCGUGAGUGAUGAAGGUCUUCGGAUCGUAAAACUCUGUUAUUAGGGAAGAACAUAUGUGUAAGUAACUGUGCACAUCUUGACGGUACCUAAUCAGAAAGCCACGGCUAACUACGUG